AGCCAUUUGGUGAUACCAAAGUGAACUAUUUUUUUGCCUUUUAUUAAAGAAUAUCGUGUUAUCGCCAUAUAUAGUGGUAUACGCCUAUUUUUGGAGAGUCCCUUCUUAUUGAUGGACU